CCUACGGGAGGCAGCAGUGAGGAAUCUUGGUCAAUGGGCGCGAGCCUGAUCCAGCCAAGUAGCGUGAAGGAUGACUGCCCUACGGGCUGUAAACUUCUUUUAUAAAGAAAUACAGUGAGGCACGUGUGCCUUUUUGUAUUGACUUUAUGAAUAAGGAUCGGCUAACUCCGUGCCAGCAGACGCGGUAAUACGGAGGGUGCGAGCGUUAUCCGGUUUUAUUGGGUUUAAAGGGAGCGUAGAUGGGUUGUUAAGUCAGUUGUGAAAGUUUGCGGCUCAACCGUAAAAUUGCAAUUGAUACUGGCAGUCUUGAGUACAGUUGAGGUAGGCGGAAUUCGUGGUGUAGCGGUGGAAUGCUUAGAUAUCACGAAGAACUCCGAUUGCGAAGGCAGCUUACUAAACUGCCACUGACAUUGAUGCUCGAAAGUGUGGGUAUCAAACAGGAUUAGAUACCCGUGUAGUC
rnacentral:rRNA from 1 species